rnacentral:rRNA from 1 species
AGUAACGCGUGGGUAACCUGCCUCAUACAGGGGGAUAACAGUUGGAAAUGGCUGCUAAUACCGCAUAAGCGCACAGAGCUGCAUGGCUCAGUGUGAAAAACUCCGGUGGUAUAAGAUGGACCCGCGUUGGAUUAGCUUGUUGGUGGGGUAACGGCCCACCAAGGCGACGAUCCAUAGCCGGCCUGAGAGGGUGAACGGCCACAUUGGGACUGAGACACGGCCCAG